AGAUUCUGCUUGCUGUAGCCAAUAAGCACAACAGCUUGGAAGCAAUGCUGCAGGCAGCCGGCACCCUCACUGUGCAGCUGAGAAAACUGAGGCUGAGAAUUGACCGGAGCCACCUCAUAGAUGGCUUCAUUCGCAAGCCUGACCUGUCUUGGAUUUUCCGAAGAGUCAACCUACCUGACAUCAUCCAAAAAGCACCACCCUGUCCACUCUGCUCCUGGCAUUUAAGAUCCUCCAGUAUCUAGACUUGCCCAGUCUGGCCAGUCUCAACUCACACCAGGUCUUUGCCAGUAUCCAGCAUGCUCUCAUGAGAUAUUAUCCUGAGGGCCUUGGCUGUCCCUGCCCUUUCCUUAUUCUUCUCUUCCUUUUUGGGAUUACCCUCCUAUUCUCCAGAUUUAUCCACUUUCUCUGGGAAGCCUUCCUAAAGACCACUUUGCAAGACUAUACUUUCAGGAAUCAUUUCUGUAGUUCGUUACUGAAGACCAGUUUGCAAUAAAUUAUUUCUUCCUCC